rnacentral:lncRNA from 1 species
GGAACUAGGACAGACAAGGCAGUUUUACCUCAAAGCCAAUUUAACUCAAUACAUGCUGAAGAAGGAGAAAAAAGAUUCAAAGAAUAUAAGGGCAAGACUUUUUUCCCCUUAAGGACUUAAGACCGGGCCUAAAUAAAGGGGAAAGGAUAAUUGGAUUGGAGGGAUAAGAAGUCUUCCAAUUAGGAAAGGGGAAGGAGAACCAAAAUUUCCAUCACAAGGACAAGGAGAAGAACAAAAAGACUGAGAGGAUACAUUAUUUUCAAGUGUAAUCUCCUCACUGACCCAUCAUCUGGGACACAGCACCAUUGAGCAGCUGGGGACCCUUAUAAACUAUGAGAAAAAGAGCUUCACUAGGGACUUUGGUACCCUGUAGAGAGAUAGAAACCUGAAACAGCUUUGCCCCCACAUCAAGGUGGAGCUGAGCAGAAACAGUGGACAAUUUUUCUUAGCCUGGCUGCAGGAGACUCACC